rnacentral:tRNA from 1 species
AGCAGCGUGACCUAGUGGCUAGAGCACAGGCCUGGGAGGCCAGAAGGACCUGGGUUCUAAUCCCAGCACUGUCA